AUCUCCAGCAGCAGGGCUGCGAGGAUGCGCUGAAAGAAAUCCUGGUCAUGAGGGAAAAGAAGAACCCCAAUAUUGUUGCCUACCUAGAAAGUUACCUUGCACAUGGGGAUGUCUGGAUGGUGCUGGAGUACAUGGACGGAGGCUCCUUAGAUGAGGUGGUCAGCGAGAAAAGGAUGGUUGUAGGACAAAUAGCAACUGUGUGUCGGGAGUGCCUGCAAGGCCUGGCUUUCCUUCAUGCCAACCGGGUGAUCCACAGAGACAUCAAAAGCAG